rnacentral:rRNA from 1 species
AUUGAACGCUGGCGGCAGGCUUAACACAUGCAAGUCGAGCGGAGCGAGGGUGCUUGCACCUUAGCUUAGCGGCGGACGGGUGAGUAAUGCUUAGGAAUCUGCCUAUUAGUGGGGGACGACAUUCCGAAAGGAAUGCUAAUACCGCAUACGCCCUACGGGGGAAAGCAGGGGAUCUUCGGACCUUGCGCUAAUAGAUGAGCCUAAGUCGGAUUAGCUAGUUGGUGGGGUAAAGGCCUACCAAGGCGACGAUCUGUAGCGGGUCUGAGAGGAUGAUCCGCCAAACUGGGACUGAGACACGGCCCAGACUCCUACGGGAGGCAGCAGUGGGGAAUAUUGGACAAUGGGCGGAAGCCUGAUCCAGCCAUGCCGCGUGUGUGAAGAAGGCCUUUUGGUUGUAAAGCACUUUAAGCGAGGAGGAGGCUACUUAGAUUAAUACUCUGGGAUAGUGGACGUUACUCGCAGAAUAAGCACCGGCUAACUCUGUGCCAGCAGCCGCGGUAA